UGUGUGUUAGUGGAAGCGUCUGGAAAGGCGCGCGAUACAGGGUGACAGCCCCGUACACAAAAAUGCACAUGCUGUGAGCUCGAUGAGUAGGGCGGGACACGUGGUAUCCUGUCUGAAUAUGGGGGGACCAUCCUCCAAGGCUAAAUACUCCUGACUGACCGAUAGUGAACCAGUACCGUGAGGGAAAGGCGAAAAGAACCCCGGCGAGGGGAGUGAAAAAGAACCUGAAACCGUGUACGUACAAGCAGUGGGAGCACGCUUAGGCGUGUGACUGCGUACCUUUUGUAUAAUGGGUCAGCGACUUAUAUUCUGUAGCAAGGUUAACCGAAUAGGGGAGCCGAAGGGAAACCGAGUCUUAACUGGGCGUUAAGUUGCAGGGUAUAGACCCGAAACCCGGUGAUCUAGCCAUGGGCAGGUUGAAGGUUGGGUAACACUAACUGGAGGACCGAACCGACUAAUGUUGAAAAAUUAGCGGAUGACUUGUGGCUGGGGGUGAAAGGCCAAUCAAACCGGGAGAUAGCUGGUUCUCCCCGAAAGCUAUUUAGGUAGCGCCUCGUGAAUUCAUCUCCGGGGGUAGAGCACUGUUUCGGCAAGGGGGUCAUCCCGACUUACCAACCCGAUGCAAACUGCGAAUACCGGAGAAUGUUAUCACGGGAGACACACGGCGGGUGCUAACGUCCGUCGUGAAGAGGGAAACAACCCAGACCGCCAGCUAAGGUCCCAAAGUCAUGGUUAAGUGGGAAACGAUGUGGGAAGGCCCAGACAGCCAGGAUGUUGGCUUAGAAGCAGCCAUCAUUUAAAGAAAGCGUAAUAGCUCACUGGUCGAGUCGGCCUGCGCGGAAGAUGUAACGGGGCUAAACCAUGCACCGAAGCUGCGGCAGCGACGCUGAUGCGUUGUUGGGUAGGGGAGCGUUCUGUAAGCCUGCGAAGGUGUGCUGUGAGGCAUGCUGGAGGUAUCAGAAGUGCGAAUGCUGACAUAAGUAACGAUAAAGCGGGUGAAAAGCCCGCUCGCCGGAAGACCAAGGGUUCCUGUCCAACGUUAAUCGGGGCAGGGUGAGUCGACCCCUAAGGCGAGGCCGAAAGGCGUAGUCGAUGGGAAACAGGUUAAUAUUCCUGUACUUGGUGUUACUGCGAAGGGGGGACGGAGAAGGCUAUGUUGGCCGGGCGACGGUUGUCCCGGUUUAAGCGUGUAGGCUGGU
rnacentral:rRNA from 1 species